GCCAGACUCCUACGGGAGGCAGCAGUGGGGAAUAUUGCACAAUGGGGGAAACCCUGAUGCAGCGACGCCGCGUGAGUGAAGAAGUAUUUCGGUAUGUAAAGCUCUAUCAGCAGGAACGAGACAAGACGGUACCUGACUAAGAAGCCCCGGCUAACUACGUGCCAGCAGCCGCGGUAAUACGUAGGGGGCAAGCGUUAUCCGGAAUCACUGGGUGUAAAGGGAGCGUAGACGGCUGAGCAAGCCUGAAGUGAAAGGCGGGGGCCCAACCCCCGGACUGCUUUGGGAACUGUACGGCUGGAGUGCAGGAGAGGUAAGUGGAAUUCCUAGUGUAGCGGCGAAAUGCGUAGAUAUUAGGAGGAACACCAGUGGCGAAGGCGGCUUACUGGACUGUAACUGACGUUGAGGCUCGAAAGCGUGGGGAGCAAACAGGAUUAGAUACCCGCGUAACG
rnacentral:rRNA from 1 species